UACGUAGGGGGCAAGCGUUGUCCGGAAUCAUUGGGCGUAAAGAGCUCGUAGGCGGCUUGUUGCGUCGACUGUGAAAACCCGCGGCUUAACCGCGGGCUUGCAGUUGAUACGGGCAGGCUAGAGUUCGGUAGGGGAGACUGGAAUUCCUGGUGUAGCGGUGAAAUGCGCAGAUAUCAGGAGGAACACCUGUGGCGAAAGCGGCUCACUGGACCACAACUGACGCUGAUGCACGAAAGCUAGGGGAGCAAACAGG
rnacentral:rRNA from 1 species